GAGGGUGUAGCUCAGCAGUAGAGCACGUGCUCAGCAUGCACGAGGUCCUGGGUUCAAUCCCCAGUCCCUCCA
rnacentral:tRNA from 1 species